rnacentral:rRNA from 1 species
UACGUAGGGUGCAAGCGUUAAUCGGAAUUACUGGGCGUAAAGCGCGCGCAGGCGGUUUUGCAAGUCUGUCGUGAAAGCCCCGGGCUUAACCUGGGAAUUGCGAUGGAGACUGCAAGGCUUGAAUCUGGCAGAGGGGGGUAGAAUUCCACGUGUAGCAGUGAAAUGCGUAGAGAUGUGGAGGAACACCGAUGGCGAAGGCAGCCCCCUGGGUCAAGAUUGACGCUCAUGCACGAAAGCGUGGGGAGCAAACAGG